rnacentral:rRNA from 1 species
AACCAGACUCCUACGGGAGGCAGCAGUGGGGGAUAUUGCACAAUGGGGGAAACCCUGAUGCAGCGACGCCGCGUGUGGGAAGACGGUCUUCUGGAUUGUAAACCACUGUCCCCAGGGGCGAAAAUGACGGUACCUGGGGAGGAAGCUCCGGCUAACUACGUGCCGGCAGCCGCGGUAAUACGGAGGAUGCGAGCGUUAUCCGGAUUUAUUGGGUUUAAAGGGUGCGUAGGCGGACUGGAAAGUCAGCGGUAAAAUCGAGAGGCUCACCCUCUGUCCGCCGUUGAAACUGUCGGUCUUGAGUGGGCGAGAAGUAUGCGGAAUGCGUGGUGUAGCGGUGAAAUGCAUAGAUAUCACGCAGAACUCCGAUUGCGAAGGCAGCAUACCGGCGCCCGACUGACGCUGAGGCACGAAGCGUGGGUAUCGAACAGGAUUAGAUACCCCUGUACCU